GGUACCUAUACGCACGACGUUCAGGGAGACCACUACUUGCGGGGUUCCUUUUUAUCUUCAAGGCUCAAAGUACAGAGGGAGGACUCGGAGGCGUCGGUUAACGUCUGGUGUUCUCUCGGUCGCUGUGGCAAGAUUCCCACCCGUUGGUGGGAAGUAGGAGGGAGUUUGCUGACGAAAGCUGCGGAAUUCUACCUCAGCGCCUCAGGUGAAAUGAAGGGGGAACUGGAGGGGCGGGGGAGCGCGGGGAGCCCGAGUGCAGAGCCCAGAACUUUGCGUUUGUGGAAGGGGAGGCGUCCUGUGAGGCGGAGAAUUGAUCCCUGUGCACCGGGAGGGGUGAAGAGCAUUAACUCACCCUCUCUCCAAGAAUGGGAGCGCGGGACCUUAUCUCCUGGCUUCCUGUCCUGCCUCUGGAUGCCGGCUAUGCAAUUAUCUGUGUCAGAGAUGGCCAAUGGCUCUCCAGGAUCCGGACCCCGCCUCCUUCCCUUUCAACUGCAGGACCCAGAGGAGCUGAAAAAUGCUCAGAGCUUCAGCAGAAUGACAUGGUGACUGAAAGGAGGCUAAGAGAACAUGGCAAAGUUCAGAGCCCAGCUCACAGAAGACACCCCAUAAAAAGUUAUUAAGAAAUCAGUGGAGAAGGUCCCAUCCCCAUCACUAUUUAUUGGGGUAAGAAGGCUGGAGAGCAACAACUACUCUAGCAAAACUACUUGCUGUUGCUGUCUCAAAAAAAUGAAAGUGAAGAAAUAAUGAGAAAAUGCUGAACUCUAAUAAAUCAUCUUCCCAUCUCCUUCCCACCCUGGAGUAGAGGGCCACCAAGCAAGGAGUCAAAGCUUCACCAGACUGCCAAAGGAAUCUAUAGCACAAAAGUCCAAGAACCUCUGCUCCAACAUCAUUGUCAUCACAGAUAAGAACAAGAAAGAGGAACAAGUGGAACCUGUGUUUGCAUCCUGAUGUUCUUGUCUGUGAAGAAAGCAGAGAUAUUGGAUAACUUUAAAUUUUCUUACGAUG